rfam:Clostridiales bacterium S5-A11 contig065, whole genome shotgun sequence.
GAGAACUGAUAUUCCGAUUGGUGAAAUGAGGGAGUAACGCCCUGAAGCGCCUACCUAAUACUCCGAAUGGCAGGAAACCAUGCAACAGGUUUCCCCAAAAGAUGUUAUAGAGCUCGGUGAAGUCGGCAGAGAGCAGUCGUAAGUAUGAUUUUCAGACGAUACACGAAAGCUGUCCAGCGGUGGAUGGUGCUGCCUAUAUGCCGGGGUUCGGUUAC